UACGUAGGGUGCAAGCGUUGUCCGGAAUUAUUGGGCGUAAAGAGCUCGUAGGCGGUUUGUCGCGUCUGGUGUGAAAAUCCAGGGCUUAACCCUGGACCUGCAUCGGGUACGGGCAGACUAGAGUGCGGUAGGGGAGAUCGGAAUUCCUGGUGUAGCGGUGAAAUGCGCAGAUAUCAGGAGGAACACCGGUGGCGAAGGCGGGUCUCUGGGCAAUAACUGACGCUGAGGAGCGAAAGCGUGGGGAGCGAACAGG
rnacentral:rRNA from 1 species